UCCUGAGCAAGUUCUUCCUCUAUAGCCUGUCUUUUGUAGGCUAGAUUUACUGAGUAGAUCCUCACUCAGCCUGAAAGAGAAAAGUAAGAUCCAAUAAACACAUACCAUUUCUAUAUGAUCCUUCUUUGGAAGCAGGAGUAGACACUGCGUUUGGGAGCCACCUCUGCUUCCAGAACACUUGUCUCUUCCAAGAGCUGGAUUCAGUAUCAAAAGGGGAGUGCCAGCUGAUUACUCUGGGCUCAAGAACACCUUUUGAGGACUUAUGGAUCUGGGCCUCAUGAAAACAGUGUCUGGAUUUGAUGGCAAAUGGCAGCAGAAAUGUGGAAAAGAUCAAAGUGAUGUCACGGUUGAUCUCUGAGUUUGGCAGGGCUGAACUCAAAUGUCAUUUAUCAUGGACCCACAGUGUCUUCAGUAGCUGAGUCGGGUGUCAUUCCCCUUUGAUAUGUGCUCUCAAUUGCUGGCCAGUUUUUGUUUUUUGUUUUUGAGACAGUCUUGCUUUGUCGCCCUGGCUAGAAUGCAGUGGCACGAUCUUGGCUCACUGCAACCUCCGCCUCCCGGCUUCAAGUGAUUCUCCUGCCUCAGUCUCCCAAGUAGCUGAGAUUACAGCCGUGUGCCUCCAGGCCCGGCUAAUUUUUCUUGUAUUUUUAGUAAAGAUGGGGUUUCGCCAUGUUGGCCAGGCUGGUCUCGAGCUCCCGGCCUCAAGUGAUCCACCUGCCUCCAUCUCCCAAAGUGCUGGGAUUACAGAUGUGAGCCACCGUACCUGGCCCCAAAGUUUUUGAAAUUGGAUCAUUUUAAUUUGUUUAAUUUGUUUAGGAUGGCUGUGUGGCAAAUCUUUUUUUAAAGUAAGUAAUUAUCCUGUAGUAUAAGUCACCUCCUGAUCUCUACAUUUAAGGUUUGCUGUCCUCGAUGUGUUCACCUAUGAAUGUAGGUAUGCUGAGAUACACAGUGCAAGGCUGAAGUCAGAGUACACCACUGAUGAACCCCUGGGAACUGGUAACCCAGCCAGGGAACGAACAUCUUUUAUGAAUCAGUUUAUCCACCAACACUUGCAGAGAGCCUAUCCCAUGCCACCCCUAAGGGCACAGUGAUGGAGAAGAUAUGCUUCCUGCCUCCAAGAACCCCAUAGUCUAGUGGCAGAGGCAAGCAGGUACAUAGCUGCCUAUAGUACAGCAUCACAGGUGCCAUAACACUGUGUAAACUGGGAAUAAUUCUAUUCUCUGGAUACAGAACGUCUAACCAAGAUAUUGAGUAUCUGGCUUCCCCUUCCCCACACUGGCCCUCACUGGGAUCCAUGUCUAAUGUUAUGAAAGUCACACAAUAUCAUUAUAAACUAAUCAUAAAUGGCACUGUCAGUUUGCUACAAAAACUUACUCAGAAAACAUUCAGAUUCUCCCAUCAACAUAUGCCGCUAAAUGUUGGCCAAAGCUCUGAUUUAAAAUACUUGUUUCAUUUUCCUCUCCAAUUUUGUUCUAGUCUUCAAAAUGAUUUCAUACAACAAAGCACUGAGUUCCUUAGUUCCUCUGACCCCUGCCAGAUCUGAAGCUGUGAU